rnacentral:rRNA from 1 species
AAUCAGAUUUUCGAGGGCAAAGAAGUAGAUGUCUCAAGCAAGAAGCCAGGAAGAGUUGGCCGAAAGAGAAAGGAGUUGGAUCUAGCGAGGGCCUCAACAAUCCCACUGAAUAAAAGAAGGACAAUUCGAUCUCUGGCACGGUCUCUAGGUGUGGCCCGAUCGACCCUACAUAAGAGGUUCCAGUUGAAUGAGCUCAACCGCAUCACAAGCACUGUGAAGCCUCACCUCAAGCCAGAGAACAAGCUUGCGAGAUUGAAAAUUUUCAUGUCCAUGCUCGAUGACAAAUCGAUAUCAACUUCUUGA